rnacentral:rRNA from 1 species
GGUUGGUACUUGUACCAACUGGAUGAGCAGCGAACGGGUGAGUAACGCGUGGGGAAUCUGCCUUUGAGCGGGGGACAACAUUUGGAAACGAAUGCUAAUACCGCAUAAAAACUUUAAACACAAGUUUUAAGUUUGAAAGAUGCAAUUGCAUCACUCAAAGAUGAUCCCGCGUUGUAUUAGCUAGUUGGUGAGGUAAAGGCUCACCAAGGCGAUGAUACAUAGCCGACCUGAGAGGGUGAUCGGCCACAUUGGGACUGAGACACGGCCCAAACUCCUACGGGAGGCAGCAGUAGGGAAUCUUCGGCAAUGGACGAAAGUCUGACCGAGCAACGCCGCGUGAGUGAAGAAGGUUUUCGGAUCGUAAAACUCUGUUGGUAGAGAAGAACGUUGGUGAGAGUGGAAAGCUCAUCAAGUGACGGUAACUACCCAGAAAGGGACGGCUAACUACGUGCCAGCAGCCGCGGUAAUACGUAGGUCCCGAGCGUUGUCCGGAUUUAUUGGGCGUAAAGCGAGCGCAGGUGGUUUAUUAAGUCUGGUGUAAAAGGCAGUGGCUCAACCAUUGUAUGCAUUGGAAACUGGUAGACUUGAGUGCAGGAGAGGAGAGUGGAAUUCCAUGUGUAGCGGUGAAAUGCGUAGAUAUAUGGAGGAACACCGGUGGCGAAAGCGGCUCUCUGGCCUGUAACUGACACUGAGGCUCGAAAGCGUGGGGGAGCAAACAGGAUUARAUACCCUGGUAGUCCACGCCGUAAAMSRWGAGUGCUAGAUGUAGGGAGCUAUAAGUUCUCUGUAUCGCAGCUAACGCAAUAAGCACUCCGCCUGGGGAGUACGACCGCAAGGUUGAAACUCAAAGGAAUUGACGGGGGCCCGCACAAGCGGUGGAGCAUGUGGUUUAAUUCGAAGCAACGCGAAGAACCUUACCAGGUCUUGACAUACUCGUGCUAUUCCUAGAGAUAGGAAGUUCCUUCGGGACACGGGAUACAGGUGGUGCAUGGUUGUCGUCAGCUCGUGUCGUGAGAUGUUGGGUUAAGUCCCGCAACGAGCGCAACCCCUAUUGUUAGUUGCCAUCAUUAAGUUGGGCACUCUAACGAGACUGCCGGUGAUAAACCGGAGGAAGGUGGGGAUGACGUCAAAUCAUCAUGCCCCUUAUGACCUGGGCUACACACGUGCUACAAUGGAUGGUACAACGAGUCGCGAGACAGUGAUGUUUAGCUAAUCUCUUAAAACCAUUCUCAGUUCGGAUUGUAGGCUGCAACUCGCCUACAUGAAGUCGGAAUCGCUAGUAAUCGCGGAUCAGCACGCCGCGGUGAAUACGUUCCCGGGCCUUGUACACACCGCCCGUCACACCACGGGAGUUGGGAGUACCCGAAGUAGGUUGCCUAACCGCAAGGAGGGCGCUC